GAUGAAGAACGUAGCGAAAUGCGAUAAGUAAUGUGAAUUGCAGAAUUCAGUGAAUCAUCGAAUCUUUGAACGCACAUUGCGCCCGCCAGCAUUCUGGCGGGCAUGCCUGUUCGAGCGUCAUUUCAACCCUCGAGCCCCCCCGGGGGCCUCGGUGUUGGGGGACGGCACACCAGCCGCCCCCGAAAUGCAGUGGCGACCCCGCCGCAGCCUCCCCUGCGUAGUAGCACACACCUCGCACCGAAGCGCGGAGGCGGUCACGCCGUAAAACGCCCAACUUUCUUAGAGUUGACCUCGGAUCAGGUAGGAAUACCCGCUGAACUUAAGCAUAUCAAUAAGCGGAGGA
rnacentral:misc_RNA from 1 species